rnacentral:rRNA from 1 species
GUGGUAAUGCCGGAUGCUCCAUCACACUGCAUGGUGUGUUGGGAAAGCCUUUGCGGCAUGGGAUGGGGUCGCGUCCUAUCAGCUUGAUGGCGGGGUAACGGCCCACCAUGGCUUCGACGGGUAGCCGGCCUGAGAGGGCGACCGGCCACAUUGGGACUGAGAUACGGCCCAGACUCCUACGGGAGGCAGCAGUGGGGAAUAUUGCACAAUGGGCGCAAGCCUGAUGCAGCGACGCCGCGUGAGGGAUGGAGGCCUUCGGGUUGUAAACCUCUUUUGUUAGGGAGCAAGGCAUUUUGUGUUGAGUGUACCUUUCGAAUAAGCACCGGCUAACUACGUGCCAGCAGCCGCGGUAAUACGUAGGGUGCAAGCGUUAUCCGGAAUUAUUGGGCGUAAAGGGCUCGUAGGCGGUUCGUCGCGUCCGGUGUGAAAGUCCAUCGCUUAACGGUGGAUCCGCGCCGGGUACGGGCGGGCUUGAGUGCGGUAGGGGAGACUGGAAUUCCCGGUGUAACGGUGGAAUGUGUAGAUAUCGAAAAAAAACACCA